CAUCAUCUCCGAACCAUACCAUAAAUACAACGAUGCACUAAGCAUUGGACCAUGACUUAGUCACUUCAACUUUACAGCCCUGCACGGCCACGGCUCUUGUUCUCCUACUAUUGUAGAAAGGCAUUCUUCCAUAACGUAACCUUGCUAAUAUGACAACAACUUGAUGAGUCUAUUGACUUGGAUUCUUUCGUUGCUGAAUACAAUUUUAGUAUUAUUCUGCACAGUAAUAGAACGACCAAUUUUGCUAGCUUAAUUUGAAGAUCAGAGCACUAAAAACGAGUAUAAUGAAUUCAAUGACCAAACCUGCUGUUUUUGUAUGUGCUGUCUUCUUUACCUUUUUUAGUAUAUCGAAAUAACAACUUUUUUUUUAGUACCCUCUUCGUUCACUUUUAGUUGUUCACUUUUGACUUUGCACACCCUUUAAAGAAAUAUAUAUGAAGUAUGUAUUUUAUAAUUUUACCCAUAAUAAUGAUAGCAUUUCCAAAAGUUUUGGGAGAUAAUUUGCAAAUCACGCCACGAGAAACGGAUUCGCAACAUGCUUAUUUUAAUUAUUUGAAAUUAUGGUCAAGUCACGUGAAACGCGCACUCGAAUUGGAGAUUGCGUAUCAUGACUAUGCUACGGAACCGUAUCCAUAAUUACGAUUAUCUUAUGAAGACGCGCUUAAAGCGACUAACGUGUUUGUGAGUUAUUUGAACUAAACUUUGGGAUUAUUAUGCAACCCUAUUACAUGAGCAUGUACAUGCUUUCUUCUAAGAAUCCAAACCAAGCCUACAGUCCCUUAAAGCUAACAAAUAAUAGUCCAUUACCAAAAUCUAAUUAGCAUCAUUUUGUCGGUCACAACACAUACGCCUAUAUCAGAACCCAUGUUCAAAUUAGCUCAUAGACAUCAAUUGGCAGACAUGAAUUCUUUUCUAAAUUCAAUAUAUUUCAAAUUAUUUUAUUUCAAACUCAACAAAUCAAACAGCCCCUUCCUACUACAUAUUACUACAAAUUCAUAAGAAAAACAAAAAUAUUCAUCUACCCCCUAAAAAUUUACAAACGGAUUCACUGUAUGUCAUGAGCACACCAAAUAUGAACUUAAAAAUUAGUAGUUAAUUAGUAAUAUUCUCAACAAGACAAGUUAGCUAAAUGAUCAUGAGCUAAUCUCCAUUAAACAAAUAAAGACAAAAUUCUCGUCUAGAGGCAUAGAGUAAACAGAGAACUUCUCCAAACAUUAUUCAAACAUAAACAAAGUAAGAUAUGAAAAUCAAAAGAUAAAAUAAAAUGGAUAGAGUUAGAAUGGGACCUUUAAAACGCGAACGCUAGCAGAGCCACUAAUCUAAACUUGAAAGCAGACCGGACCACCGAACGGAGUUUGACAAACUCAACUGACCUCGCCGAAACUCGAUUUUUGAAGUGAGUAAAGGCUAUUUUGAAGCUGUUUUGGGGUUGUAUUGGACGGGUUUUAUGGCUGUUUUGACGAGGUAUUUCAACUGAUUUUCUGGCAGCGUUUUUGGAGUGUUAAAGGGUCGUUUUGGGGCUGGUUUUGUGGUGGUUUCACGAGCUGGGUUUUGACAGCAUUUUGAGGUCGUGUUUGACUAAAAAAUGAAGCUGCCUUCUAGCUUGUUUUCAGCUGAAAGUGAAGUACUUUUGGGAGUUAUUUCAACUAGGUUUGGCUUGGUGUUCAUGGUGAUAGAGCUUAGUGGAGUUUCAUCGAUGGGUUGAUUAAGUUUUUGAGGAAGAAGAAGCCUCUGCUGUUGAAGGAGGAGUAGACCAGUCCCUUUUUUUUUUUCGUUCUCUCCCUCUCCCUUUUUGCUCUCAUUUUCUCUUGUGCAAAGAAUCUCCCCC
rnacentral:lncRNA from 1 species